UGCUAGUGCCAUAUGAAUGACCUCAGGGUGGGGUCUCCUGCUGGUGCACAGAGUCAGGACCAAACACGGUGAGGCUGCGUUCCAGUUUUGUGCAGCUAAAAUC